rnacentral:rRNA from 1 species
CGCCUCUUGAAUUACAUAAGAGGUCCAGCCUGCCCAGUGAAAUUAUUCAACGGCCGCGGUAUCCUAACCGUGCGAAGGUAGCGUAAUCACUUGUUCUUUAAAUGAGGACUAGUAUGAANGGCACCACGAGGGUUCUACUGUNUCCUUUUUUAAAUCAGUGAAACUAAUCUUCCCGUGAAGAAGCGGGAAUUUUUUUAUAAGACGAGAAGACCCUAUGGAGCUUUAAACAAAUGACAUUUGCUUCAUUUAAUACUUUUAUCUACAAAAAAUAUAGCAUUAUGAUUCUUAGUUUUCGAUUGGGGUGAUCACGGAGUAAAAUCUAACCUCCACGCCGAAAGGGUUUAUUCCCUAAGCAAAAAGCUACAGCUUUAAGCAUUAAAAAAUUAACGUAAUUUGACCCAAUAUUUUGAUCAACGAACCAAGUUACCCUAGGGAUAACAGCGCAAUCCACUUCAAGAGCUCCUAUCGACAAGUGGGUUUACGACCUCGAUGUUGGAUCAGGGUAUCCUAGUGGUGCAGCCGCUACUAAUGGUUCGUUUGUUCAACGAUUAAAACCCU